ACGGGAGGCAGCAGUGGGGGAUAUUGCACAAUGGGGGAAACCCUGAUGCAGCGACGCCGCGUGAGUGAUGAAGUAUUUCGGUAUGUAAAGCUCUAUCAGCAGGGAAGAAAAUGACGGUACCUGACUAAGAAGCACCGGCUAAAUACGUGCCAGCAGCCGCGGUAAUACGUAUGGUGCAAGCGUUAUCCGGAUUUACUGGGUGUAAAGGGAGCGUAGACGGCAAGGCAAGUCUGAUGUGAAAACCCAAGGCUCAACCAUGGGACUGCAUUGGAAACUGUCUAGCUAGAGUGCAGGAGAGGUAAGUGGAAUUCCUAGUGUAGCGGUGAAAUGCGUAGAUAUUAGGAGGAACACCAGUGGCGAAGGCGGCUUACUGGACUGUAACUGACGUUGAGGCUCGAAAGCGUGGGGAGCAAACAGGAUUAGAUACCCUGGUA
rnacentral:rRNA from 1 species